AGGUAACGAAGCCACUCUUGGAGACAUCUAGAAGAGGGUAUCUUGCUACAAUUUCAGCUUCGAGUUACUCUUUUGUCUCCCUGCUUCGGCACUUUCUUCCAAUAAUGAAUCCAGCGGUGCUUCAAUAUCUUUGACAUACAUAGCUUCCGAAAGGGCAAUCCCAGG